UGAAUUUUGAAUAUUUUUUAUUCAUAUAUUUUCUGUCCAGAUUAGGCACUUAAUAUAAAGAAAAAUUGCUUUGUUUAUUCUUGCAUAAAUUAUACGAGUAAAUAUAAAUGUAAUAAAGGCUAAUGUAAAUGUUUUUGUACAAAUAUUGUAUAUACCAUAUGCCAGGGAUAACCAAGAGAUCAACUGUGGUCAAUUGGCUUGACCACAGAACCAUUUAUAGUUGCUCCCAAGCCCUUGGAAAUAGACUUUUAUCCAACACAACUCAUCUAAUCAAAAAUUAUUUUGAUAUACUGAGUUGUUCAUUAUUUUCAAUUUGUAAUAUAAUGAAUUGCUUAUAUGCCUGACUGUUGUGAUGGAAGUAGGAAUAAAUCUAUUGCAUACCAGAGCUGGAUAUGAAAUCAUAUAAAUGAUUUAUCAAAACCUGCACUCAAUAUAAUCUUAAAAAAUUCAAAAAUAAAUGAG
rnacentral:lncRNA from 1 species